rnacentral:lncRNA from 1 species
GGAUUUGUAUUCAUUUAUUAUCCGAAUAAUUAUUUGUUUUCGUAUUCGGAUUCGGUUAGAUUCACGAACUAUUUGUAUUCGUUUAAGAUACUCAUUUAAAACAAAAUAGAACUAAAUAACUGAAGUGUUGUCCCGACAAAAGUUACAAACAAUUAGAGAGAACAGACUAACAGAGUGAGAGGAGCGAGGAAGGCGACUUGACAAGAGAAACAAUUGGAGAAUUAGGGUUGUGUUUUACUAGCCUCAACC